AUUGAACGCUAGCAGCAGGCCUAACACAUGCAAGUCGAGCGGUAGCACAGAGAGCUUGCUCUCGGGUGACGAGCGGCGGACGGGUGAGUAAUGUCUGGGAAACUGCCUGAUGGAGGGGGAUAACUACUGGAAACGGUAGCUAAUACCGCAUAACGUCGCAAGACCAAAGUGGGGGACCUUCGGGCCUCACGCCAUCAGAUGUGCCCAGAUGGGAUUAGCUGGUAGGUGGGGUAACGGCUCACCUAGGCGACGAUCCCUAGCGGGUCUGAGAGGAUGACCAGCCAAACUGGAACAGAGACACGGUCCAGACUCCUACGGGAGGCAGCAGUGGGGAAUAUUGCACAAUGGGCGCAAGCCUGAUGCAGCCAUGCCGCGUGUGUGAAGAAGGCCUUCGGGUUGUAAAGCACUUUCAGCGGGGAGGAAGGCAUUAAGGUUAAUAACCUUAGUGAUUGACGUUACCCGCAGAAGAAGCACCGGCUAACUCCGUGCCAGCCGCCGCAGUAA
rnacentral:rRNA from 1 species